rnacentral:pre_miRNA from 1 species
CGGAUUUUAAAAAUCCGUCUCUAAGUUAGAGACGGAUUUUAGAAAUCCGUCUCUAAUUUUGAGACGGAUUUAAAAAUCCGUCUCUAAUUUAGAGACAGAUUUAAAAAUCCGUCUCUAAGUUAGAGACGGAUUUUAGAAAUUCGUCUCUAAUUUAGAGACGGAUUUUAAAAUCCG